CACGUAGGGGACGAGCGUUGUCCGGAUUCAUUGGGCGUAAAGCGCGCGUAGGCGGCCCGGUAAGUCCGCUGUGAAAGUCGGGGGCUCAACCCUCGAAUGCCGGUGGAUACUGUCGGGCUAGAGUGCGGAAGAGGCGAGUGGAAUUCCUGGUGUAGCGGUGAAAUGCGCAGAUAUCAGGAGGAACACCGAUUGCGAAGGCAGCUCGCUGGGACGGUACUGACGCUGAGACGCGAAAGCGUGGGGAGCAAACAGG
rnacentral:rRNA from 1 species